rnacentral:rRNA from 1 species
UUGAACGCUGGCGGCAUGCCUUACACAUGCAAGUCGAGCGGCAGCGCGGGGGCAACCCUGGCGGCGAGCGGCGAACGGGUGAGUAAUACAUCGGAACGUGUCCAGUAGCGGGGGAUAACCUGUCGAAAGAUAGGCUAAUACCGCAUACGACCUACGGGUGAAAGCGGGGGACCGCAAGGCCUCGCACUAUUGGAGCGGCCGAUGUCGGAUUAGCUAGUUGGCGGGGUAACGGCCCACCAAGGCGACGAUCCGUAGCUGGUCUGAGAGGACGACCAGCCACACUGGAACUGAGACACGGUCCAGACUCCUACGGGAGGCAGCAGUGGGGAAUUUUGGACAAUGGGCGCAAGCCUGAUCCAGCCAUGCCGCGUGAGUGAAGAAGGCCUUCGGGUUGUAAAGCUCUUUCGGCGGGGACGAAACGGUCCGUGACAACACCACGGACUAAUGACGGUACUCGCAGAAGAAGCACCGGCUAACUACGU